rnacentral:tRNA from 1 species
GCUCCUAUAGUCUAGAGGCCAAGGAUUCAGCCCUUUCGAGGCUGAGACCCGGGUUCGAAUCCCGGUAGGAGCA